AAUUCAAUCAAAUUUCAUGGGUUCAACAGCAAAAUUUUCAUCAUUCCCACAAUUCAAUGGAAUUUCAUGGGUUUAACAACAACAUUUUCAUCAUUCUCAAACUUUUAUCAAAUUUCAUGGGUUUAACAAUAACAUUUUCAUCAUUUCCACAAAUCAAUCAAUUUUCACGGGUUUAAUAGCACUAUUUUCAUCAUUUACACAAUUAAAUAUAUUUCAUGGGUUUAACAAC
rnacentral:lncRNA from 1 species